rnacentral:rRNA from 1 species
CAACUUUUAACAACGGAUAUCUUGGCUCUCGCAACGAUGAAGAACGCAGCGAAAUGCGAUACGUAAUGUGAAUUGCAGAAUUCAGUGAAUCAUCAAAUCUUUGAACGCAUAUUGCGCUCCUAAGCUUGCUUAGGAGCAUGUCUGUUUCAGUGUCAUUUU